GGGGGGCAAAGUUGAGGCUGACGAUUGACCGACGGACCCGGUCUUACAAAAUACGUUUUGUUUUUGGCCGCAGGGGUUUGACCGUGCAAAGGUAGCGCAAUCACUUGUCUUUUAAAUGAAGACCUGUAUGAAUGGCCAAACGAGGGCUUAACUGUCUCCCCCAUCAAGUCAGUGAAAUUGAUCUAUCCGUGCAGAAGCGGGUAUUAAUAUACAAGACGAGAAGACCCUUUGGAGCUUAAGGUACAAACCCACCUACGUUAAACAGCUUAUUAAACAAGCGCAAACCUAAUAGAAUAUGGUAUUUUACCUUCGGUUGGGGCGACCACGGAGAACAAAAAAUCCUCCUAGUGGACUGGGAACUUCCCUAAAACCAAGAAAGACAUUUCCAAGUCACAGAAAAUCUGACCAAACAUGAUCCGGCCAUCCCGGCCGAUCAACGAACCAAGUUACCCUAGGGAUAACAGCGCAAUCCCCUCCAAGAGUCCAUAUCGACGAGAGGGUUUACGACCUCGAUGUUGGAUCAGGACAUCCUAAUGGUGCAGCCGCUAUUAAGGGUUCGUUUGUUCAACGAUUAAAGUCCUACGUGAUCUGAGUUCAGACAGAAUGUUCGCCUUGUUUAUUAAAAAAACAUAAUCGUUGAUCUUGUUUUCACAAACGGGGACU
rnacentral:rRNA from 1 species